rnacentral:rRNA from 1 species
AUGCACCACUGCAGCUGGCCUGGCUCCACUAAAAUGGAGAAGAUCAAGCACAAGUUUGACAAGAUGCACGGCCUGCCAAACUGUUGUGGCGUUGUACAUACUGCUCGCAUCUCGUUUGGAUCAACAAACUGUGACGACGUGCAGAACGACAGUGAGCUAAUCCAAGCCGUCGUUGAUCCAGAUAUGAGGUUCCUAGACAUUUGGUGGAACUUGUCAGCUAGUAUGAACCAAUCGAGCCUUUUGCUCGACUCUGAGCUCCUUGAGAAGUGUGAGAAUGGUGCUUGGCUUAAUGGCAGUAUGCUGAGGCUAUCAGAUGGCCUGGAUGUCGGUGAAUACAUAAUUGGUGGUGCUGGAUACACACUUCGUCCGUGGCUCCUGACACCUUACCAGAUGGAAAACGGUGUCUCACUCUCAUCCUCCAAAGUAGAGUUCAAUAGGAGACAGUCUGCAGCUACAGCCAUUGCAGUAAGGGCGUUGGCAAGGAUGAAAGACACAUGGAAAUGCCUCCAGGGAAAAGGGUGGCAUCCAAAUAACAAACUUGAGAUGUACUGGACGAUCGGCACGUGUUGCGCGUUGCAUAACAUAGUGAUAGACAUGGAUGGGGAUCCGGAGGAAGGUGAGGAUGAGGAUCAGGAGGAGAGUUACACCGCGCAAGUGCGGCAACUAGCAGAUGAGGACGCCGUCAGGACGAGGGAUGCUCUGUCCCAUCACUUGAUUGAAUCUGGAGUCCACACAAUGGCUGUAGAGCAAGCUGCAGUAGUUGCAUCCAGUUCAGAAGAUAAAAGCAAGGAACAAGAAGUACACCGAGGAUUGGCAGCAGAUGGAGGAAAGGAGAGGAGAGCUAGCUAA